rnacentral:rRNA from 1 species
AACGAACGCUGGCGGCAUGCUUAACACAUGCAAGUCGAACGGCAACGCCCUGCUUUUGUGCGGUGCUCGAGUGGCGAACGGGUAAGUAACACGUAAGUAACCUACCCUUCACUUUGGGGGAACUUCAGGAAGCUGGGGCUAAUCCCGGAUAGGAUCUCCCGCUUGAUGGUGGGGGGGGGAAAGUUUCGCCUGUUGGGGUUGGAAUCGCCGUUUAUCGGCUUGUUGGUUGGGUAGUGGCAGACCAAGGCUUUGACCGGUAGCCGGCCGGAGAGGGGGACAGGCCACAUUGCGCCUGGGAUAAGGCCCAGCCUCGAAUGGGAGGCAACGGUGGGGAGUAUUGUACAAUGGGAGGGAGCCGGAUGCAGCAACGCCGCGUGCGGGAAGACGGCCUUCGGGUUGUGAACCGCAGCCGCUUGAGACGAAGCGUGAGUGACGGUAAUGGGUGAAGAAGCACCGGCUAACUACGUG